rnacentral:misc_RNA from 1 species
AACGCACAUUGCGCCCUCUGGUAUUCCGGAGGGCAUGCCUGUUCGAGCGUCAUUAUAACCACUCAAGCUCUCGCUUGGUAUUGGGGUUCGCGGUUUCGCGGCUCCUAAAAUCAGUGGCGGUGCCUGUCGGCUCUACGCGUAGUAAUACUCCUCGCGUCUGGGUCCGGUAGGUCUACUUGCCAGCAACCCCCAAUUUUUACAGGUUGACCUCGGAUCAGGUAGGGAUACCCGCUGAACUUAA